GACGAACGCUGGCGGCGUGCUUAACACAUGCAAGUCGUACGGUAAGGCCCUUUCGGGGGUACACGAGUGGCGCACGGGUGAGUAACACGUGAGUAACCUGCCCACAACUUUGGGAUAACGCUAGGAAACUGGUGCUAAUACUGGAUAUGUGCUCCUGCUGCAUGGUGGGGGUUGGAAAGCUCCGGCGGUUGUGGAUGGACUCGCGGCCUAUCAGCUUGUUGGUGGGGUAGUGGCCUACCAAGGCGGCGACGGGUAGCCGGCCUGAGAGGGUGACCGGCCACAUUGGGACUGAGAUACGGCCCAGACGCCUACGGGAGGCAGCAGUGGGGAAUAUUGCACAAUGGGCGCAAGCCUGAUGCAGCAACGCCGCGGGCGGGAUGACGGCCUUCGGGUUGGAAACCGCUUUCAGCAGGGACGAAGCUUUUUGUGACGGUACCUGCAGAAGAAGCACCGGCUAACUACGUG
rnacentral:rRNA from 1 species